CCAGAUGGAGGCGGAAUUAGAAUGACAGAGCAGCAGAUUGUUGUGUGAUGAGCUUUAAGAAGUUUCCAGGCUUUGACUUUCCUCUGAUGACGGAUCCUUCUUUCUGUCCCCACAAAACUGGUACAUGGUUCUACAGGGUUUUCAGGGACUCUCCAGCAGUGGAAGAGAAGCCUUCCUUUUGCCAAUUGCUUUCAUCGCCUGUUUGCUCUGGCACUUGCUUUCGGACAAAAGGAUAAGCCCAUUUCUUACGCGCGUCCAGACGAUAGGCCAAUUUGCUUUUGAGCUGUGCACAAGCCUUGGACCUUGGUUCUUGGCCUUGGGCCUUGGACACCCUCUCAAUUCUUUUUUCCCCUCCCGACUCUGCUGGGGGAGGAAGGGUUGAUCCCUGUGCCCUUUCCUCCAGGUGCCAGUGUGUGAAUCCUUACCAACAGAGAGAAGGCCAUGGUCUUUACCGGUCUUGUCUCCCCCCUGACCGUGGGCUGCUCCUCUCCGCCUACCCUCACGCUCGGCCGAGCGCCUCUGUCGCCUGUCGGUGGCCCCACUCUACUUCCCUGCAGUGGUUAGAUGUCUCCUCAUGUAUUCUCCGCGGAACCGCUUGGUCAAACCGCCCAUUUCCUGUCGUUCUCUGCUGUUCCGAUCAUUUUUGUUGUUGAAGUGACCCCUCAGAGAGGCCGGGGGUUAGAACUGAAAUGACCUCAGAGAUCAUCUUUCUGACCCAGUCCUCUCUACUUAAUGUAUCCGAUGCGUGAUGUGAAUCAUUUCAUAAUCACAAAAGCCGUGUAAUUUUCGCUACAGGAAACUUUGAAGACAAAAAGGAGAAAACAGAGAUCACACGUAAUGCUACUGUCUGAUGCUAACGGCUACUAAUACUUUUGUGUGUCUUUAAAGAAAUGCUGUUUAUGCCAGUCAUUGUGCCUCGGUUGGUGGGGGUCAGCCUCUUGAUCUCAGGUUUCCAUCUCGGGAGUCAGGAGUUCAGGCCCCAUGUGGGGCGUGGAGCCUACUUAAAAAAUAAAUAAAAAUACAGAGUGAAAAAUAGAUCA
rnacentral:lncRNA from 1 species